rnacentral:rRNA from 1 species
GGAAAGGGGGAGCCAACCAUGCAGUCGAGCGGUAGAGAGAAGCUUGCUUCUCUUGAGAGCGGCGGACGGGUGAGUAAUGCCUAGGAAUCUGCCUGGUAGUGGGGGAUAACGUUCGGAAACGGACGCUAAUACCGCAUACGUCCUACGGGAGAAAGCAGGGGACCUUCGGGCCUUGCGCUAUCAGAUGAGCCUAGGUCGGAUUAGCUAGUUGGUGAGGUAAUGGCUCACCAAGGCGACGAUCCGUAACUGGUCUGAGAGGAUGAUCAGUCACACUGGAACUGAGACACGGUCCAGACUCCUACGGGAGGCAGCAGUGGGGAAUAUUGGACAAUGGGCGAAAGCCUGAUCCAGCCAUGCCGCGUGUGUGAAGAAGGUCUUCGGAUUGUAAAGCACUUUAAGUUGGGAGGAAGGGUUGUAGAUUAAUACUCUGCAAUUUUGACGUUACCGACAGAAUAAGCACCGGCUAACUCUGUGCCAGCAGCCGCGGUAAUACAGAGGGUGCAAGCGUUAAUCGGAAUUACUGGGCGUAAAGCGCGCGUAGGUGGUUUGUUAAGUUGGAUGUGAAAUCCCCGGGCUCAACCUGGGAACUGCAUUCAAAACUGACUGACUAGAGUAUGGUAGAGGGUGGUGGAAUUUCCUGUGUAGCGGUGAAAUGCGUAGAUAUAGGAAGGAACACCAGUGGCGAAGGCGACCACCUGGACUAAUACUGACACUGAGGUGCGAAAGCGUGGGGAGCAAACAGGAUUAGAUACCCUGGUAGUCCACGCCGUAAACGAUGUCAACUAGCCGUUGGAAGCCUUGAGCUUUUAGUGGCGCAGCUAACGCAUUAAGUUGACCGCCUGGGGAGUACGGCCGCAAGGUUAAAACUCAAAUGAAUUGACGGGGGCCCGCACAAGCGGUGGAGCAUGUGGUUUAAUUCGAAGCAACGCGAAGAACCUUACCAGGCCUUGACAUCCAAUGAACUUUCUAGAGAUAGAUUGGUGCCUUCGGGAACAUUGAAACAGGUGCUGCAUGGCUGUCGUCAGCUCCUGUCGUGAAAUGUUGGGUUAAGUCCCGUAACAAGCGCAACCCUUGUCCUUAAUUACCANCACGUUUAUGGUGGGCACUCUAAAGAAAACUGCCCGUU